UACGUAAAAGACUAGUGUUAUCCAUCUUUAGUAGGUUUAAAGGGUACCUAGACGGUAUAAUUAGUCUUAAACAAGAAACGGUUAUGCUAGAGUUAUAUAUGAGAAGGGGAGUAUUUAUGGAGUAGAGUUGAAAUUCUUUGAUCCCAUAACGACUGGUAGCGGCGAAAGCAACCUUUUAUCUAAUAACUGACGUUGAGGGACGAAGGCUCGGGUCACGAACAGG
rnacentral:rRNA from 1 species